UACAGGGGGGGCAAGCGUUGUUCGGAAUUACUGGGCGUAAAGGGCCAGUAGGCGGCCGACUAAGUCCGACGUGAAAUCCCCAGGCUUAACCUGGGAACUGCGUCGGAUACUGGUUGGCUUGAAUUCGGGAGAGGGAUGCAGAAUUCCAGGUGUAGCGGUGAAAUGCGUAGAGAUCUGGAGGAAUACCGAUGGCGAAGGCAGCCUUCUGGCCUAAUACUGACGCUGAGGUGCGAAAGCAUGGGGAGCAAACAGG
rnacentral:rRNA from 1 species